rnacentral:tRNA from 1 species
GGCGGUGUAGCUCAGCUGGCUAGAGCACAUGGUUCAUACCCCUGAGGUCGAGGGUUCGAGUCCCUCUGCCGCCACCA